GACGAACGCUGGCGGCGUGCUUAACACAUGCAAGUUGAACGGAAAGGCCCUGCUUUUGUGGGGUGCUCGAGUGGCGAACGGGUGAGUAACACGUGAGUAACCUGCCCUUGACUUUGGGAUCACUUCAGGAAACUGGGGCUAAUACCGGAUAGGAGCUCCUGCUGCAUGGUGGGGGUUGGAAAGUUUCGGCGGUUGGGGAUGGACUCGCGGCUUAUCAGCUUGUUGGUGGGGUAGUGGCUUACCAAGGCUUUGACGGGUAGCCGGCCUGAGAGGGUGACCGGCCACAUUGGGACUGAGAUACGGCCCAGACUCCUACGGGAGGCAGCAGUGGGGAAUAUUGCACAAUGGGCGGAAGCCUGAUGCAGCAACGCCGCGUGCGGGAUGACGGCCUUCGGGUUGUAAACCGCUUUCGCCUGUGACGAAGCGUGAGUGACGGUAAUGGGUAAAGAAGCACCGGCUAACUACGUG
rnacentral:rRNA from 1 species